rnacentral:lncRNA from 1 species
GUAGUCCAAGAUAUUCAACUGCACGCAAAGGUAAAAAGAUGGUCAUGAUGUUUGUACUCAAUUGCUUCAACAGGUAUGUCUGAGAUAAAUAAUCUCGAAUGUAUGCCAUAUAUAUGUAUAACAUAAUUUGAGAUAUAUAAUCUUGAAUCAAAACAAGGAUAACAGUGUAGCCUGAGAAUUGGCCAUUUUUCCUAUGGUAAAAUUAAG